CCUACGGGUGGCAGCAGUGAGGAAUAUUGGUCAAUGGACGAGAGUCUGAACCAGCCAAGUAGCGUGAAGGAUGACUGCCCUAUGGGUUGUAAACUUCUUUUAUAUGGGAAUAAAAUGUUCCACGUGUGGGAUUUUGUAUGUACCAUAUGAAUAAGGAUCGGCUAACUCCGUGCCAGCAGCCGCGGUAAUACGGAGGAUCCGAGCGUUAUCCGGAUUUAUUGGGUUUAAAGGGAGCGUAGGUGGAUUGUUAAGUCAGUUGUGAAAGUUUGCGGCUCAACCGGAAAAUUGCAAUUUAAACUGGCAGUCUUGAGUACAGUAGGGGUUGGCGGAAUUCGUGGUGUAGCGGUGAAAUGCUUAGAUAUCACGAAGAACUCCGAUUGUGAAGGCAGUUCACUGGACUGCAACUGACACUGAGGCUCGAAAGUGUGGGUAUCAAACAGGAUUAGAUACCCGAGUAGUC
rnacentral:rRNA from 1 species